CCAAUAGCGUAUAUUAAAGUUGUUGCAGUUAAAAAGCUCGUAGUUGAAUUUCGGGAUCAAUUUGCUGGUCGUGCCUUCGGUACGCACUGGUAUUAUUGGUUUCUCCUUUCUGAUGAAUCGCGAUGUCAUUAAUUUGGUGUCGUGGGGAAUCAGGACCGUUACUUUGAAAAAAUUAGAGUGUUUAAAGCAGGCUCACGCUUGAAUACAUUAGCAUGGAAUAAUGAAAUAGGACGUUUGAUUCUAUUUUGUUGGUUUCUAGGAUCGACGUAAUGAUUAAUAGGGAUAGUUGGGGGCAUUAGUAUUCAAUUGUCAGAGGUGAAAUUCUUGGAUUUAUUGAAGACUAACUACUGCAAAAGCAUUUGCCAAGGAUGUUUUCAUUAAUCAAGAACGAAAGUUAGGGGAUCGAAGACGAUCAGAUACCGUCGUAGUCUUAACCAUAAACUAUGCCGACUAGGGAUCGGAUGAUGUUAAUUUUUUAAUGACUCAUUCGGCGCCUUACG
rnacentral:rRNA from 1 species